GGCCAAGUCCUUCACAAGUUUUACGCAGUCUUUGGUCAGACUAUGUUAUUUUUAAACACUAUUUCAUGCAGCAUUAAAAUGGUUUGGGGAGUGCCAUGUGUGUAGUCAUGACAUCUGACCCACAGUGAGAAUGAUUCGUUAAUGGAGGUUUUUAAGGGAAGGAACCGGCCACACGUUGAUCACAUACAGGAAAACACAUGCUGGUCACAUAUAAUUUUUUUAUUUUUCUUUGAAUGGCUAGGACUUUUCAUUAUUAAGAAGAAACAUUCUCUAGGAUAGGAAAUGAAAAGGAUCAUCUUGAUUAUAGGUGUCAUGGCCAAAGGAUGCAUGUCUUCUGUCUUCAGACCUACUAAGGGUUCAUUCGAGGAGGUGCCUCCAUCUGUGCCAGACUUUACAAACACACAUCCUCAUCCUGCAAGUUCGGCUGCCAAGUUGUUCUACCUUAAAUCACUUGCAAGCAGGGUUUGAACUGUAACUCAUGUUGGAUUCUGGCAAAAACAGGAAUGAAGAUGUAAGAAGUGUAAUGAUUUGGCUCCUGUGAGAAAAGGUGUGUGUGUGUGGAGAACAUUUUUCAGCCACAUGGCAGUUUCACCAUGUGGGGAAAAAGUCUGCUUAACUCUAAAGAGCAAAUUGCACAAUCUCUGAGUGUUUGGGGAAGAUUGGUCAUAGCAAAAGCAACACGGGAAGCAAGGAGGGAAAGUCUGAGGCUUUAGGAGCUAAUGACAGGCGAAGAAGGGGAGCUGCUUGAAGGGAGGGGUGCACAGGCAGACGUGAACCCCUGAACUCCCCAUCUGCAACAAGAGGCUAAAGCUGCAAGAGAAUCUUCCAGCCCACGUGGGCAGGAGGCCUCCGACAUCAUUUCCCAUGCACCACAGAGCCAAGUGAGGAGAAAAGUAAUUGCCUUGGAUGGGAAGCACGAUACGACAAGAAAUACAAGCAUAUCUUUUGAUUUUGUAAGCCAUAAAAGUAUUUUAAUAACAUCUGGUGCAGGGGCGUGUUGAAGUUUAAUUAAUUAAUCCUUGCAAAAGACUUGGAAAUUCUGGGAUCAAAGGUGUUGCAGGAGUGCAAAAUGCUGUUAUUAUAUCUAUAAACGUGUGCUUGUUAACUUAAAUGCUGUUUAUUUAUUGCCGCUAUAUACUUGUAUGGCAGUGUAUAUCAAGUAUAUUACAAACAUUUUAAAAGUACACUUUUUCAUCACAUAAAGCUGUCCCCGUUUGGGUCCCCCUGUGCACACAGGCAGUCACAGUGCAGCGGUGGUUAGCAGGUGCUGCUGCUAACGUGGCUCAGAAACCUCAAAUUGACUCCCAGAAAGCCUCUGCUUUUUUAGGGGUGUCUGUGGUGUUUUCCACUCUGUAAUAUUCCUAUGGAUGCCGUUAUACAAGAAGCACAGAUUAUGCACAGUGGCCCAUAGCCACGACUGAAGCCUGAAAACUCCACGUCAGGGUUUGUCUCAGCUUGGUGUGUGGUUGCAGUUUUCUGCUUUCUCCCUUCCUCCACAAUAUUCAUCCUCCACAAUAAAGAAUACAAAGGGUAGGUGGGUCUGCUCUCU
rnacentral:lncRNA from 1 species